rnacentral:rRNA from 1 species
GAUGAACGCUGGCGGCGUGCUUAACACAUGCCAGUCGAACGAGAAGUGAAGACGGAAACCUUCGGGCGGAAGGCUUUAUUUCGAGUGGCGGACGGGUGAGUAACGCGUGGGUAACCUGCCUCAUACAGGGGGAUAACAGUUGGAAACGACUGUUAAUACCGCAUAAGACCACAGCACCGCAUGGUGCGGGGGUAAAAACUCUGGUGGUAUGAGAUGGACCCGCGUUCGAUUAGCCAGUUGGCGGGGUAACGGCCCACCAAAGCGACGAUCGAUAGCCGAUCUGAGAGGAUGACCGGCCACAUUGGGACUGAGACACGGCCCAAACUCCUACGGGAGGCAGCAGUGGGGAAUAUUGCACAAUGGGGGAAACCCUGAUGCAGCGACGCCGCGUGAGUGAAGAAGUAUUUCGGGAUGUAAAGCUCUAUCAGCAGGGAAGAAAAUGACGGUACCUGAGGAAGAAGCCCCGGCUAACUACGUG